GACUAGUGUGUGCUAGUGGUUUGAGUGUUACACUGUGACUCUGAAGACCAGGGUUCAAUUCCCCACUUGGCCA